GUGAUCGACUCUGGAGAGCAGCCGUGGAUACCGCGGCUCACCGAAGGGGCGAAUCUCUCAGGUGCCAGGACAGAGGGGCGGCA
rnacentral:ncRNA from 2 species